rnacentral:misc_RNA from 1 species
GAAAUGCGAUAAGUAAUGUGAAUUGCAGAAUUCAGUGAAUCAUCGAAUCUUUGAACGCACCUUGCGCUCCUUGGUAUUCCUUGGAGCAUGCCUGUUUGAGUAUCAUGAAAUCUUCAAAGUAAAUCUUUUGUUAACUCAAUUGGUUUCUACUUUGGUAUUGGAGGUCUUUGCAGCUUCACACCUGCUCCUCUUCGUUCAUUAGCUGGAUCUCAGUGUUAUGCUUGGUUCCACUCGGCGUGAUAAGUUAUCUAUCGCUGAGGACACUGUAAAAGGUGGCCAAGGUAAAUGCAGAUGAACCGCUUCUAAUAGUCCAUUGACUUGGACAAUACUUUUAUGAUCUGAUCUCAAAUCAAGUAGGACUACCCGCUGAACUUAAGC